rnacentral:rRNA from 1 species
GAUGAACGCUGGCGGCGUGCCUAACACAUGCAAGUCGAACGGGUGUGGUAUCAGGGAAAAGGGGUUUACUUCUUUGACCAGAUAACACACUAGUGGCGGACGGGUGAGUAACGCGUGGAUAACCUGCCUUAUACAGGGGGAUAACAGGGAGAAAUUCUUGCUAAUACCCCAUAGGUAUGUCUGACGCAUGUUGGACAUAUUAAAGCUUUGGCGGUAUAAGAUGGGUCCGCGUCUGAUUAGCUAGUUGGUGGGGUAAAGGCCCACCAAGGCGACGAUCAGUAGCCGGCUUGAGAGAGUGGACGGCCACAUUGGGACUGAGACACGGCCCAAACUCCUACGGGAGGCAGCAGUGGGAAUAUUGCACAAUGGGGGAAACCCUGAUGCAGCGACGCCGCGUGAAGGAGAAGGUCUUCGGAUCGUAAACUUCUAUCAGCAGGGAAGAAGGAAGUGACAGUACCUGAGUAAGAAGCCCCGGUAACUACGUGCCAGCAGCCGCGGUAAACUACUCGUA